rnacentral:lncRNA from 1 species
UUAAGAGCAGCUUAUUAUCACACCAAAAUAAAGUAAAUGAAACAGAAACACACCGAAAAAUGACCACAAACAAAACAGGGACUCGACGACCGUGAACGUCUUCAAGGCCCAACUCCGAAGAACUUUCUAAACAAGCUUUAGAAUGGACUCCAUGAAUUUGAAACUAGAAACCUAAAUAGAAACCAAAGAGAAGAAACAGAAACUUUUCUGUUUUUCUUUUUUGGAUUAAAAAUUUCCCUGUGAUGGUGUUGCUGCUGGGUGAGAGAUGGCGACGGGGUUGGGGGUGGUUUUUCCGAUGAUGGAUGCUGAGAAUGGGGUGAGGGAGACGAUCUUCAGAAGGGUGGGUCUCUUUUUGUUUUCAGCCGCAGCUUUUUUCAGUCCCUAGCUC